ACGGGGGCUCACACAAGCGGUGGAGCAUGUUGUUAAUUCGAGGCUACGCGAAGAACCUUUACCUGGGUUUGAAGCGGUAGGUAUAAGCAUGUCGAAAGAUGUGUGAUUGCCCUUCGGGGUGUAACCUAUCACAGGUGCUGCAUGGCUGUCGUCAGCUCGUGUCGUGAGAUGUUGGGUUAAGUCCCGCAACGAGCGCAACCCUUACCCUUAGUUGCCAGCGGGUAAUGCCGGGCACUCUAAGGGGACCGCCCGGAUAACGGGGAGGAAGGCGGGAUGACGUCAAGUCAGCAUGGCCUUUAUGUCCAGGGCUACACACGUGCUACAAUGGGCGAUACAGAGGGAAGCAAGGCCGCAAGGUAGAGCUAAUCCCUAAAGUCGUCCUCAGUUCGGAUUGCAGGCUGCAACUCGCCUGCAUGAAGUCGGAAUCGCUAGUAAUCGCGGAUCAGCUACGCCGCGGUGAACUACGUUCUCGGGCCUU
rnacentral:rRNA from 1 species